rnacentral:lncRNA from 1 species
GCGCACGUCAUGCCGACGGCGAAGCUGAUGGAGACGGUGAAGAUGCCGAGCAGGAUGAGGUUGACGGGGUGCUUCUGGUGGUAGUAGCGCAGGGGGCAGAGCACUGCGGCGCGAACGGAGCAACCAAUUACGUUAGCCAACGCACGAAUUCGAACUCAGCGAGGCACCCGUGAGGGGCAGGUAAUUACCGAUGAGGGGCAGGAUGAGGAGGAAGAUGUAGAGGCCGAAGCCGGCGUUGGAGGAGACGAAGAACUCGGAGACGGCGGGGACCUUGACGACGAAGCCCGCGACGGCGGCCGUCAUGGCGAGCUGCACGGAGAGGAUGACGUAGAUCUUGCGGAUGAAGGCCCAGCGC